rnacentral:rRNA from 1 species
AGGAUGAACGCUGGCGGAGUGCCUAAUACAUGCAAGUCGAGCGGCAGCGGGAGUAGUUUACUACUUGCCGGCGAGCGGCGGACGGCUGAGUAACGCGUGGGAAUGUGCCCCAAGGUGAGGGAUAACUUCGAGAAAUCGGAGCUAAUACCGCAUAUGGUCUUCGGAUUAAAGGAUUUAUCCGCCAUGGGAACAGCCCGCGUACGAUUAGAUAGUUGGUGAGGUAAAAGCUCACCAAGUCGACGAUCGUUAGCUGGUCUGAGAGGAUGACCAGCCAGACUGGAACUGAGACACGGUCCAGACUCCUACGGGAGGCAGCAGUAAGGAAUCUUCCACAAUGGACGAAAGUCUGAUGGAGCAACUCCGCGUGCAGGAUGAAGGCCUUAGGGUUGUAAACUGCUUUUAUGAGUGAAGAUAUGACGUAACUCAUGAAUAGGGUCAGCUAACUACGUGCCAGCAGCCGC